AAGUCGUAACAAGGUUUCCGUAGGUGAACCUGCGGAAGGAUCAUUAUUUGAUCUGAAUUGGCGACAUUUGAAAAAUGCAGCCUUUUUGCUUUGUGAACUGUCUUGUACUGUUGUUUUUUUUAAUAGUUGCUUUUUUUCUUCGGAAAAAAAAUAAAGACAACUUUCAGCAAUGGAUCUCUUGGCUCUU
rnacentral:misc_RNA from 1 species